UACGGGGGGAGCAAGCGUUGUUCGGAUUUACUGGGCGUAAAGGGCGCGUAGGCGGCGCAACAAGUCACUUGUGAAAUCUCCGGGCUUAACCCGGAGCGGCCAAGUGAUACUGUCGUGCUAGAGUGCGGAAGGGGCUACUGGAAUUCUCGGUGUAGCGGUGAAAUGCGGUAGAUAUCGAGAGGAACACCUGCGGCGAAGGCGGGUAGCUGGGCCGAUACUGACGCUGAGGAGCGAAAGCGUGGGGAGCGAACAGG
rnacentral:rRNA from 1 species